rnacentral:lncRNA from 1 species
AAUUAAAUCUUCCUUCAUUACGUAUCUCCUUCUCUUUCUUCAUUCCCUACCGCUUCUCUCUGUCUCUCUCUUUCCCGGCGAGCGUCGCCGGCCUCGCCGCCUCCGGCGCGGCGAGGUCGGCCUCUUCUCUUUCACCUUCUUUCUUUCUUUCUUUCUUUCCCUUUUCCUGAAUCUGAAAUAGAUCUAGGGUUUUCUUUAUUUCCUGAAUUUGAAUAGAUCUAGGGUUUCUACCUCUCUUCCUCCCCUCUCGGAAUUCGUCUCUCCGGUCGAGGUUUGCCUCCACCGCCGUCGUCUUUGUCGUGCCGCCGCCUCCUCUGUUUCAGGUAAGCCUCCCCAUCUCUCUCUCUCAUUUUCUUUCUUCCUUUCUCUGCUCCUCUCUCGAUCUCCCUCUAUCUCGAUCUCUCUCUCCUUUCUGGUCGGGCCGCGGCGGCCGCUGCGAGCCGCGACGGCGCAUGCAGCGCCGGGGGUCGCCGCCGCCCUGCUCUCCCCUCUCUCCCUCCAUCUCGUUCUAACCGUCUCUUUUUAUUUCACUCUCUAUCUCCCUGGUUUAAUCUCCCUCUCUAUCUUUCUCGCUCAACCUCUCUCUGCUGUCAGUAGCCACCACGGCCGCCGUGGCGCCGGUGGCCACCGCCGCCAGCCAUGCCUCCGCUGUGGUGGCUCGCGGCUGCUGCUGCUACUACUAAUUCCCAAUUCAAAAUCUCAUUCCAGCAAACUUCCAAUCUAAUUUUUUUAUUUCAAUUUUAACAUUACAAAAUAAUAGAUCUCAAACUAUUUUCUGUUCCAGGAAUCGUGAUUCAAGAUGAGUUGAGAUGGUUUCAUCGGCAGUUCAUCUACAGCCCAAGACUCCCUUUUUAAAGACUCAGCCUUCUAUUUGGAUUAUUAUUGAUUUUUAAAGACUCAGCCUUCUAUUUGGAUUAUUAUUGAUUUAUAAACUGUUGUAACUAGAUGUAUUCUGUAAAUGUUAAAGGAAAUUGAUAUUAUCUCUGCUAUUUUUGAUUACUACCUACGAGUGAAUCAUUGAGUUGUAGGAAGAAUACUACCUGCUUGUUUGCUGACUGCUGGGGAUGAUUUUUGCUUUUGGAUGGAUAUUUACUUUACUGUUUGGAGUUUGCAGAAUGGGGAAAAAAAAUGAGAUUUAUGGUAACUCAUCGUAUUUAUACUCGUUUGAGUCGGUUUGAUGGAUUUAGCUGGGUGUAAAAUUGAGAGCUGAGUGUAAAGUUGGAAGAUACGUGUAGUAUCAUGCUCUACGUGUUCUUUCACAAAAAUCUUGUUUCUUCACAGGAUAAAUGCAGCCAAUUUGAUCUGAUCAAUUUAUUCAAGAAUAGCAUAACAGUUGGGUUAAUG